rnacentral:tRNA from 1 species
GUUUAUAUAGUUUAAGUUAAAACAAUACUUUUUCAUAGUAUAAAUAAAGGAAUAUUUUAUAAAUA